GUUAAAGUGGCAGAGCCCGGAUACUGCAAAAGACCUAAGCCCUUUCCACGGAAGUUCAAGUCUUCCCUUUAACU
rnacentral:tRNA from 1 species